rnacentral:tRNA from 1 species
GUUUUGAUAGCUUAACCUAAAGCAUAACACUGAAGAUGUUAAAAUGAUCUCCCUCUCAAAACA